CAGUCGCCGCGGGAAUACGGAGGGUGCAAGCGUUAAUCGGAAUUACUGGGCGUAAAGCGUGCGUAGGCGGUUCGUUAAGUCUGUUGUGAAAGCCCCGGGCUCAACCUGGGAACUGCAUUUGUGACUGUAUAGCUAGAGUACGGCAGAGGGGGAUGGAAUUCCGCGUGUAGCAGUGAAAUGCGUAGAUAUGCGGAGGAACACCGAUGGCGAAGGCAAUCCCCUGGGCCCGUACUGACGCUCAUGCACGAAAGCGUGGGGAGCAAACAGGAUUAGAGACCCGUGUAGUCCCUGUCUCUUAUAC
rnacentral:rRNA from 1 species